rnacentral:lncRNA from 1 species
CAAAGGUGUAAUUUGUACUGACAGAGGGAUCCCUGGGGAACCUGGAGCAAAAGGUCAGAUAGGCCUUCCAGGAAGAAAAGGUGAAAAAGGAGAAAAAGGAAACCAAGGCCUCUGCUCAUGUAGUGCUGGUCCUCCUGGUCCCCGUGGUAUACAAGGACCUCCAGGGUACUCAAGGAAGGAAAGGACAAAUGGGUUACCCUGGAAGACAUGGAGAAAAGGGUGAUCCAGGCUUAUCUGGUGCAAUGGGAUCACCAGGGCUCCCUGGGACACCUGGUUCUGCUGGACAACAUGGUGAAAAAGGAGAAAAGGGUGACCUAGGAAGAGUUAGAAUAAAAGGAAUAAAAGGUGAAAGAGGUCCUACUGGGGUUCCAGGAUUUCCAGGCCAAAGAGGUAAUGACGGCAGAGAUGGGGAUUUAGGAUUGCCUGGGGAGAAAGGAGCUGAGGUACGUUUGACUUUCUCAAGAUUUUUUUUUUUAUAUCAGUUAAUAUAGUGUCUUAAGAAAGGCUAGCUCUUAAUGAAAACUGUCAUCGUAUUCCAAAUUUGUAGCAGAUUAAUCAGUUUCAACAUUUUCUGUUAGCCUAGAUCAAAAAUCA